rnacentral:lncRNA from 1 species
UACCUCCAACAUAUUUGAUAAAAUUCCUAUUAUAAUGCUUUUCUAUACUAUUGGAUUUUUAAUGGAACUAUUGCGCAUUUUGGUUUGGUAAUUGAACCCUAAAUAGUUUAAAUUGGUUGUAAUGUAUAAAUCGUAUGGAUUGGUAGUUAUGAUCAUGGUUAAUUAAACUGUCUUGUAGGGUACAAGGGAUUCCCCCAAGGAAAAAUAAUAAUGGAACACUUGCAGGGGAC